UCUUCUCAUGUCAUAAUACGCUUUUACGAUUUGAAUGGACAAAAUCGUAAUAUAAACGAGGUGGUACUAAUAGCAUGUUCGUCCGUCCGUUCGACCUGAUUCGAUCUAACCCUCCUGUAAUUUUAGGUAAUUAACCCGCAAAGUUUGUGUUUCGUUCCAGAUUGGGCCUUUUUUAAUGGGCCUGCAGAAAAACAAUACGUGUAGGACACAGGAGCACGGGCUCCUCAAUGCGUACGGUAGCGCCGCCGCCGCCGCGCGCCCGUUCCUCUUUGGCGGCGCCGCCGCCCUGCUCUCGUUCCCCUCCCUAUCCAUCUCAAUCUUCUCCCGCACCACCACGAUCUUCAACCUCCUGCUGCCGUAUGUCUCCGAUUUGGAUCGGAGUCCGUGUUCCCCCAGGAUAAGUGCUGCAACACGAAUCCAUGGCGUGCCCGACCCAGAUUUCAGAGGGACUUGGCUGCCAUUAGAAGGAGCCCUCGACCGGAAUCUCCAUUAAAUCGCUUCAUAUCGCAACUUUUGAAGAGUCGUCCAGGAUCGUCUCAGCCGAGUUCGCCGGAAGAAAAUCCGCCGCCCAAGCGUACUACAUCUGAGCCGGAAGAACAUCCCCUGCCGAACAUGCUACCCCAGAGAUCACAUCUUCCUUUGCUAGAACACGUGAGCUGAUUCCGACUUUGGCCUCAAGUUGCUCCCGUCAAUGACAAGUGGGAGGAGUGGGAGUGCUGUGUUCAUGAAAUUGAGUAUCUCAGAAGAAUUUGGUUUGGCACUUAUUUUCCUCAACCUGUUAUUCUUCAAAUGUGCUUCCCAUGGAUUUGAUAAAUUUGGUGAGAUAAUGUUAUGUGUCAGGUAUGGCCAUAAGAUACUCAUGAAACUUAUUUUAUUUUGCCUCACACAAGAUGUAUGUUGUUUAGACUCAUGUACUGCCAGUACUGGUAGAUCGAUGAUCUAAGGAUCAUAUGAAUGAUUAAUGGAGGAUAAUUCAUAUUCAGUUCUCCUCUCAAUUUUUGUGGUGCCAAGCUUGAUCUUUAUCCAUCUAACUGACUGAAAGUGCCUUCUAAUCACUAUUGAACGCAUAUGUUAGUUAGUUUGGCUGUAUACACCACACAAAAAGUAAAAAAUGAAUUCUAGAAAAAAUUAGACACAAAUACUACAGAACCAGUGGACCCUCGAGAAACAAAAGGCACACCUAAAGGAUUUUUUUCUUAACAAAAUGUAUUAAUUUGACUAUUUGAGUAUAAAAAAUGUGCAAUCGCAAUCUUGCUUUUUCAAGGAAAACAGGGGACUGCUACAUACUCGAUAUGGAUCGAGGCUAAUUAUUGAUCUUCCAAGUUAAAAAAUCUGAAAAUAACUUUCAUUUAGUAAUGGAUACAUAGUCAAGAAAGGAUGCCUUUCCCGAAAGAUACAAAACAAAAUCGUGUUCGUGUAUGUCCGGCUGACAGAUGAAUCGAUCUCCUUUCAAGUAUCAACCCAGCAACCUUCGUGUACAUACAUGUGUGCAUCAAGGAUGCACGGGUCCAUUGGCCUGCGUACCACACAUCCCUUCACUAAUUCCAUCAGUAUCAUUCUUAACAAGGUAAGUAUGAUUCCCUAAUCCCUGAUUUUAUUAAUUGAUCUUUGAUGCUUCAUCCCUAAUGUCGUUAUACCUUAUUGAUUCUAUAAAAGAUCUCAAACAGGAA